rnacentral:tRNA from 1 species
GGAGGGUUCGUGGCUCAGUGACAGAGCAUCUGCUUUGCAUGCAAAAGGUUCCAGGUUCAAUCCCUGGUGCCUCUA